GUUGUGGCUAAGGCAAACCGAUUAGAUUCUCUAAACGAUCAUUUGGACAUGACAUCAUAAAACUUGAGGCUCAAAUUUCUCUCUUUCAACUCCACCAUUUUCUCUCUUCAUUUCCACAGCACAUAAAAGAAAAACACACACACACACACAUAGUGACCCAAUAAAGAAAUGCCACUUCUUCAAGCUCCAUCUUCUACUACUCUCACUUUUCAUCACUUCACUUCACAACCCAGAGCAGGAUUAUAUGUAGCUGACAAGUCUUUUCUUCAGGCCACUUUCAGUGGUUCUUGUUUUUCGUCUCAAAGAUAUGUGAAAGCCUUGAACUUAUUGUAUACCAGUUCAAGUUUGAGCUCAUUUACAUCUAAAGCUGCUUCAAACGGAGCUUAUGGUCCUUCAGUGUCAGGCCAAACAGCCGAGUCUGAAGUUCUAAAAGCCCUAUCCCAGAUAAUUGAUCCUGAUUUUGGGACGGACAUAGUGUCUUGUGGAUUCGUGAAGGACCUCGUGGUUGAUGACAAUCCGGGAGAGGUGUCAUUUCGGUUAGAGCUUACUACACCAGCAUGUCCGAUCAAGGACAUGUUUGAGCAGAAGGCGAACGAGGUGAUUGCUGAACUUCCUUGGGUUAAAAAGGUCAAUGUGACAAUGUCAGCCCAACCAGCAAAACCUAUAUAUGCUGGACAGCUUCCUGCCGGUCUACAAACAAUCUCCAACAUAAUUGCUGUUUCUAGUUGCAAGGGAGGGGUUGGUAAAUCAACUGUAGCUGUCAACCUAGCUUACACUUUGGCUGAUAUGGGUGCUAGAGUUGGUAUAUUUGAUGCAGAUGUAUAUGGUCCUAGUUUGCCAACCAUGGUGUCCCCAGAAAACCGGAUACUUGAGAUGAAUGCAGAGAAAAGAACCAUCAUUCCAACUGAGUACAUGGGUGUUAAGUUGGUAUCUUUUGGAUUUGCUGGGCAAGGGCGUGCAAUUAUGCGAGGUCCCAUGGUCUCUGGGGUGAUUAACCAACUUUUGACUACUACAGAAUGGGGAGAAUUGGACUAUCUUGUUAUUGAUAUGCCCCCUGGAACUGGUGAUAUUCAACUUACUCUAUGCCAGGUUGUUCCUUUGACUGCUGCAGUUAUUGUUACUACACCUCAAAAGCUAGCAUUUAUAGAUGUCGCGAAAGGGGUCCGCAUGUUCUCAAAGCUUAAGGUUCCUUGCGUUGCCGUAGUUGAGAACAUGUGCCACUUCAAUGCUGAUGGAAAACGUUACUACCCCUUUGGCAGGGGUUCAGGGUCUCAGGUUGUCCAGCAGUUUGGAAUACCCCAUCUAUUUGAUCUCCCAAUCCAACCAGCUCUAUCUGCUUCUGGAGAUAGUGGAAUUCCUGAAGUGGUGGCUGAUCCUCAAGGUGAAGUUUCUAGAACGUUCCAAGAGUUAGGCGUGUGUGUAGUACAACAGUGUGCCAAGAUUCGUCAACAAGUAUCAACUGCAGUGAGUUAUGAUAGAUCUUUCAAGGCGAUCAAGGUCAAAGUACCUGAUUCCGAUGAAGAGUUUUAUUUGCACCCUGCAACUGUAAGAAGAAAUGAUCGGUCUGCCCAAAGUGUGGAUGAAUGGACGGGUGAACAGAAACUGCAAUAUUCUGAUAUUCCAGACGAUAUUGAACCUGAAGAGAUUCGGCCUUUGGGAAACUAUGCUGUGGAAAUAACCUGGCCAGACGGAUUUAACCAGAUUGCUCCUUAUGACCAGCUGCAAAUGAUGGAGCGCUUGGUUGAAGUUCCUCAACUUACUCCUGCAUAGGUAAAUGACCGUCAUGUAGUUGAGGGCGUGGCCUUAAGGAUGUGUUUGGUAUGGCGACUUUCAUCACACCAAGGAUGAAUUAAAGAUCCAAAAUCAGAUACAAAUACAAUUUGGAAGAUCAUUGCUCUUCUACCUUGCCAAAGUCACAACAAAAUUACAGCUAGCUGGAACUACAAGGACUUCAGUGAUGUUCCAUUUUAACUAUCUGUAGAUAGUAAUCUUCAGUACCAUUUGUUCAUAGUAUUAUUUUUGUAGCAAUCUUCACUAGUGUGUAACAUUUUGUCACAACAGUCUAUGCUUCAUUAUUGUUGUAGAGCACGCUCCCGUGCUUGUACCUUGGUCAGUCAGCAAAAGAAAAGGUGAUAGAAUGAAUUGGUGGUAUAAUCAAACCUUAAAAUUGCGGAGAUAA